rnacentral:rRNA from 1 species
GCUAGGAUGAACGCUGGCGGCGUGCUUAACACAUGCAAGUCGAACGGAGCCUAGCGAGUGCUUGCACUUGCGAAAGCUUAGUGGCGGACGGGUGAGUAACGCGUGGGUAACCUGCCCUAUACUGGGGGAUAACAGUUGGAAACGACUGCUAAUACCGCAUAAGCCUACGGUGCCGCAUGACACAGUAGGAAAAACUCCGGUGGUAUAGGAUGGACCCGCGUCUGAUUAGCUAGUUGGUGAGGUAACGGCCCACCAAGGCGACGAUCAGUAGCCGGCCUGAGAGGGUGAACGGCCACAUUGGGACUGAGACACGGCCCAAACUCCUACGGGAGGCAGCAGUGGGGAAUAUUGCACAAUGGGGGAAACCCUGAUGCAGCGAACCGCCGCGUGAGCGAAGAAGUAUUUCGGUAUGUAAAGCUCUAUCAGCAGGGAAGAUAAUGACGGUACCUGACUAAGAAGCACCGGCUAAAUACGUGCCAGCAGCAGC